rnacentral:rRNA from 1 species
UGGGGAAUAUUGGACAAUGGGCGCAAGCCUGAUCCAGCCAUGCCGCGUGAGUGAUGAAGGCCUUAGGGUUGUAAAGCUCUUUCGUCAGGGACGAUAAUGACGGUACCUGAAGAAGAAGCCCCGGCUAACUUCGUGCCAGCAGCCGCGGUAAUACGAAGGGGGCUAGCGUUGUUCGGAUUUACUGGGCGUAAAGGGAGCGUAGGCGGAUUGUUAAGUCAGAGGUGAAAUCCCAAGGCUCAACCUUGGAACUGCCUUUGAUACUGGCGAUCUUGAGUCCGGGAGAGGUGAGUGGAACUGCGAGUGUAGAGGUGAAAUUCGUAGAUAUUCGCAAGAACACCAGUGGCGAAGGCGGCUCACUGGCCCGGAACUGACGCUGAGGCUCGAAAGCGUGGGGAGCAAACAGGAUUAGAUACCCCGGUAGUCC